rnacentral:rRNA from 1 species
UACGGAGGGUGCAAGCGUUAUCCGGAUUUACUGGGUUUAAAGGGUGUGUAGGCGGACUAUUAAGUCAGGGGUGAAAUCCCGAGGCUCAACCUCGGAACUGCCUUUGAUACUAUUAGUCUUGAAUGUUGUUGAGGUGGGCGGAACGGGUCAUGUAGCGGUGAAAUGCAUAGAUAUGACCCGGAACACCGAUUGCGAAGGCAGCCCGCUAAGCAACUAUUGACGCUGAGGCACGAAAGCGUGGGGAGCGAACAGG